rnacentral:lncRNA from 1 species
CUUUUAACAGCUUAACUGUGUCUUCAUAUAAGAAUACGUUUAUGUUCCUGGUUUUUCCAGAAAAAGAAAUGGAAGCUCAGAUUAAAGGAUUUGUCAAGGUUUCACUGGCUUGAAGUGACUGAGUUGGGCUGUGAAUUCAUGCUUAGUUUCCCACCUUACCCUUUUUCAAGUACUCAGAUUCUUCCCACCCUUCCUAUUUUAAGUACCCAAAUCAAUCUGCAAAAUGUAGCAAAUUAAAAUGAUUCUGAAAUUGAAACAAAAAUGUUGCUCUUCUUCCAGGUAACUGUCUGCAAGGACCUUCUCAUAAAUUUCGCUCAGAGAGGAGGCCUUCUGUGAAGUUGCCAUUAGACAUUGUCAUUCAUCUGUGGAGACUGAGGGCCAGAUAGUUUCAGCUGUGUCUGAAUUGAAUGGCGCCAGCACUCAUCUUUCCUGACAGUGGCUGAACCAGAGGAGCAUUGACAUUUUUCAUGAUGAUAGCUGGAUAUAAAUACUUGGAUCAUCCUGGAGACUCCACUGUCCAGCCCAGUAUUUCUCUUUAGCCAGUUCCUUCUCCUGCUAUAUUUGGCUGCAGCCCAUUGUGGAAAACUCUGAUGUCGAACUCCUAUGGCUGUAUAAACACCAGAGCUUAGUUCAGGGAGUCCCUCAGAUUGCCAACAAGUAUGAACUGAAUGAUGACACUGUUCGAAAUGCCUUCCUUGCUAUUCUCCUGCAUGACCAAGUAUCCUGGCUUUUUAGAUGCAGCCAUUAAACAUUAAGGUGACAAAAAUAAAGCUACUAUGACAGAAUGACA